GAGAGGAGAACCAUGGAAGGCCACAAUCCAUAUCCCAAAGCUGUAAGUAAGCGUCCUCUUGUAUCCAACACCUGGUAUAGCAUAGCCAAAAGAAAUUAGCUGUAUAUUGUAAAUAAAAUCAGCCUUAGCAGGGAGACAGAUUUUAGGUCAGCACGAUCAGACCUGGAGGACCCAAUGAGCACAGCUCAAGAACCUUGCAACUCCCAAUGCAAAUACAUAAUGAGCAGUAAAUGGUUCAACGAUCUGUGGG